rnacentral:rRNA from 1 species
AGAUUGAACGCUGGCGGCAUGCCUAACACAUGCAAGUCGAACGGGAGUAGCAAUACUCUAGUGGCGGACGGGUGAGGAAUACGUAGGAAUUUGCCCUUAAGUGGGGGAUAACCCGGGGAAACCCGGAUUAAUACCGCAUGACCUCGAAAGAGCAAAGUGGGGGAUCGCAAGACCUCACGCUUUUGGAGAAGCCUACGUCGGAUUAGCUAGUUGGUGAGGUAAUGGCUCACCAAGGCGACGAUCCGUAACUGGUCUGAGAGGAUGAUCAGUCACACCGGAACUGACGACGACGGUCCGGACUCCGUACGGGAGGCCAGCGA